CACACUUCACUACAAGCUCUUUCUUUUUUCUCUAUUCCUGCUUUGCCUAGUCAAUUGAAAACCAAGGCUAGGCUGUGAAAAUUUGCUUACUUUUCCUUUUUUUCAUUUGCUUCUUACUAGUAUGUCCUAAUUAAUCUUCAAGCAUAAACAACAAUAUGUUCAUCAGUUGUUUCCUUUACUAUUGUCUGCUUCUACUUAUAUUUAAGCAAUCAAGUUUCAUUACUAAGCAUGUUGUAAUCUACUCCCUUCCCUUUCCGAAUUAAUGUAUUCCCUUAUGUAUGUACUUUGUCAGUCACUUGAUUAUAUGAUUUACUGGCUUAUGAAUCUC
rnacentral:lncRNA from 1 species